rnacentral:sRNA from 1 species
AAAAGAAUCACUCAUUUAUCGAGCGUUUACUAUGUGCCGGAUGCUGUCCUGAGCACUUUGCAUGUAUGUGCACAUGUUCAUUAUAUAGCAGCUCACUGUAAGCACAUCUUACAGAAGAGUGUACUUGGCCACCUGAGUGGUUCCUGGCUGCUUCUGUGAUUGUUAGGUCUUGAGAGAUUAUGGAAUCGAGGCAUUCUGGGUACCCCGUCAAUUGGCUGAUGGUCUUUUAUCUGGGCUGUGCUUCUUCUAUAAAGGGGAGCUCAAAGGUCUUUUUUUUUCCCCACUGCAGAGCUAAAAAAGUCCCUGUACGCCAUCUUCUCCCAGUUUGGCCAGAUCCUGGAUAUCCUGGUAUCACGGAGCCUGAAGAUGAGGGGCCAGGCCUUUGUCAUCUUCAAGGAGGUCAGCAGCGCCACCAACGCCCUGCGCUCCAUGCAGGGUUUCCCCUUCUAUGACAAGCCUAUGCGUAUCCAGUAUGCCAAGACCGACUCAGAUAUCAUUGCCAAGAUGAAAGGCACCUUCGUGGAGCGGGACCGCAAGCGGGAGAAGAGGAAGCCCAAGAGCCAGGAGACCCCGGCCACCAAGAAGGCUGUGCAAGGCGGGGGAGCCGCCCCCGUGGUGGGGGCCGUCCAGGGGCCUGUCCCGGUAAGCCAGGUCCCGGAGACCAACCCUCCC